GAAAGUAAGCAAGGGCGCAUGGCGGAUGCCUUGGCUCUCGGAGGCGAUGAAGGACGUGAUAAGCUGCGAUAAGCUUCGGGUAGGUGCAAAUAACCUUUGAUCCGAAGAUUUCCGAAUGGGACAACCCGUCAUUCUGAAGGAAUGACAUCUUGCAUAGCAAGAGGCUAACGCAGGGAACUGAAACAUCUUAGUACCUGCAGGAAAAGAAAAUAAUAAUGAUUCCCCAAGUAGUGGCGAGCGAACGGGGAUUAGCCCAAACCAAUGUUGUUACGGCAAUAUUGGGGUUGUAGGACCACGAUGUCGCAAGAACUUUAGUGAGAAGAAUUCUUUGGAAAAUGAAACCAUAGACGGUGAUAGUCCGGUAUUCGAAGCUAAACGAAGCGUAGUGGUAUCCUGAGUAGCGCGGGACACGAGGAAUCUUGCGUGAAUCUGCCGGGACCAUCCGGUAAGGCUAAAUACUCCCGAGAGACCGAUAGCGAACCAGUACUGUGAAGGAAAGGUGAAAAGCACUUCGAAUAGAAGAGUGAAAUAGUCCCUGAAACCGUGCGCCUACAAGCGGUCGGAGCAGCGUAAGUUGUGACGGCGUGCCUUUUGCAUAAUGAACCUACGAGUUACUUUUUCCGGCAAGGUUAAGCAUUUAAAAAUGUGUAGCCGAAGCGAAAGCGAGUCUGAACAGGGCGAUUAGUCGGAAGGAGUAGACGCGAAACCAAGUGAUCUACCCUUGGUCAGGUUGAAGGUUAGGUAACACUAACUGGAGGACCGAACCGAUAAGCGUUGAAAAGCUUCCGGAUGAACUGAGGGUGGGGGUGAAAGGCUAAUCAAACUUGGAGAUAGCUCGUACUCCCCGAAAUGCAUUUAGGUGCAGCCUUGGGAAUUACUACUGUGAGGUAGAGCGACUGAUAAGAUGCGAGGGCUUCACCGCCUAUCAAGUCUUGAUAAACUCCGAAUGCGCAGUAGUUCGAUCCCAGGAGUGAGGGCAUGGGUGCUAAGGUCCAUGUCCUAAAGGAGAAGAAUCCGGACCAUCAGCUAAGGUCCCGAAAUAAUUGCUAAGUUGAACUAACGAAGUCAGAUUGCUAAGACAGCUAGGAUGUUGGCUUGGAAGCAGCCAUUCAUUUAAAGAGUGCGUAACAGCUCACUAGUCGAGGAGUUUGGCGUGGAUAAUAAUCGGGCAUUAAGCAAUUUACCGAAGCUAUGGGAUCAGUAAUGAUCGGUAGGGGAGCAUUCCACUCUGCGUCGAAGGUGAAGCGUGAGCUUUGCUGGAGCGUGUGGAAAAGCAAAUGUAGGUAUAAGUAACGAUAAAGGGGGUGAGAAACCCCCUCGCCGAAAGACUAAGGUUUCCUGAUCAACGCUAAUCGGAUCAGGGUUAGUCGGGUCCUAAGGCUCAGCCGAACGGUGAGGCCGAUGGCAGAACAGGUUAAUAUUCCUGUACUACCUUAAGGAGUGACGUGGAGACGGAGCAGUGAUAGCGCCGCGGACUGACGGAAUAGUCCGUUGAAGGGUGUAGAUGUUGAUCUUUGCAGGCAAAUCCACAAAGAGAGUCGAACCUGAUAGUAUACCAAAUUCUUCGGAAUAAGGUAAUAGUGCGUGUAAACAUACUCCCAAGAAAAUCCGCUAAACUUAAUCUUUAAGGUACNNNNNNNNNNGGAACGUUCUUCGGAACAAUCCAAUAGUGCGUGUAAGCAUACUCCCAAGAAAAUCCGCUAAACUUAAUCUUUAAGGUACCCGUACCGCAAACGGACACACGUAGUCGGGUUGAAUAUACUAAGGCGCUUGAGUGAUUCACGGUUAAGGAACUAGGCAAAUUGACCCUGUAACUUCGGGAUAAAGGGUCCCAACGAGAGUUGGGCGCAGAGAAUAGGUCCAGGCAACUGUUUAACAAAAACACAGGGCUGUGCUAAAUUGAAAGAUUACGUAUACAGCCUGACACCUGCCCGGUGCUGGAAGGUUAAGAGGAGAUGUCAUCGCAAGAGAAGCAUUGAAUUGAAGCCCCAGUAAACGGCGGCCGUAACUAUAACGGUCCUAAGGUAGCGAAAUUCCUUGUCGGGUAAGUUCCGACCUGCACGAAUGGUGUAAUGAUCUGGACACUGUCUCAACCGUGAGCUCAGUGAAAUUGUAGUAUCGGUGAAGAUGCCGAUUACCCGCGAUGGGACGAAAAGACCCCGUGAACCUUUACUAUAGCUUAACAUUGAAUUUGGGUAAUUGAUGUGUAGGAUAGGCCGGAGACUUUGAAUCAGGUACGCCAGUAUUUGUGGAGUCGCUGUUGAAAUACGGCCCUUUGAUUAUUUGAGUUCUAACUCGUAGAUGCGAGGACACUGUUUGGUGGGUAGUUUGACUGGGGUGGUCGCCUCCAAAAGUGUAACGGAGGCUUCUAAAGGUGCCCUCAGGACGAUUGGUAACCGUCCGUAGAGUGUAAUGGCAUAAGGGCGCUUGACUGGGAGACAGACAAGUCGAUCAGGUAGGAAACUAGAGCAUAGUGAUCCGGUGUUUCCGCAUGGAAGGGACAUCGCUCAAAGGAUAAAAGGUACUCCGGGGAUAACAGGCUGAUCCCUCCCAAGAGCUCAUAUCGACGGAGGGGUUUGGCACCUCGAUGUCGGCUCGUCACAUCCUGGGGCUGGAGAAGGUCCCAAGGGUUGGGCUGUUCGCCCAUUAAAGUGGCACGCGAGCUGGGUUCAGAACGUCGUGAGACAGUUCGGUCUCUAUCUAUCGUGGGCGUAUGAAAUUUGCGUGGCUCUGACACUAGUACGAGAGGACCGUGUUGGACUGACCGCUGGUUUACCAGUUGUGCCGCCAGGUGCAUCGCUGGGUAUCUAAGUCGGGAUUGGAUAAGUGCUGAAAGCAUCUAAGUACGAAGCCAGCCACAAGAUUAGAUUUCUUAGGGUCGUUAAAGACGAUGACGUUGAUAGGAUGCAGGUGUAAAGGUGGUAACAUCAAAGCCGAGCAUUACUAAUUGCCCGUUCACUUUCUUUC
rnacentral:rRNA from 1 species